GUGGUUUAAUUCGAUGCAACGCGAAGAACCUUACCUACUCUUGACAUCCAGAGAAUUUAGCAGAGAUGCUUUAGUGCCUUCGGGAACUCUGAGACAGGUGCUGCAUGGCUGUCGUCAGCUCGUGUUGUGAAAUGUUGGGUUAAGUCCCGCAACGAGCGCAACCCUUAUCCUUUGUUGCCAGCGGUUCGGCCGGGAACUCAAAGGAGACUGCCAGUGAUAAACUGGAGGAAGGUGGGGAUGACGUCAAGUCAUCAUGGCCCUUACGAGUAGGGCUACACACGUGCUACAAUGGCAUAUACAAAGAGAAGCGACCUCGCGAGAGCAAGCGGACCUCACAAAGUAUGUCGUAGUCCGGAUCGGAGUCUGCAACUCGACUCCGU
rnacentral:rRNA from 1 species